rnacentral:tRNA from 1 species
GUUUUAAUAGUUUAAAAAAAACAUUGGUCUUGUAAACCAAAAUUAAUUUAUAUUUUAAAAUA